GAUGAAGAACGGAGCGAAAUGCGAUAAGUAAUGUGAAUUGCAGAAUUCAGUGAAUCAUCGAAUCUUUGAACGCACAUUGCGCCCCUUGGUAUUCCGAGGGGCAUGCCUGUUCGAGCGUCAUUAUAACCCUCAAGCUCAGCUUGGUGUUGGGGCCUGCUGCACUGGCAGCCCUUAAAAUCAGUGGCGGCGCCAUCUGGCUCUAAGCGUAGUAAUUCUUCUCGCUAUGGAGUCCUGGUGGAUGCUUGCCAUCAACCCCCAAUUUUUCUAUGGUUGACCUCGGAUCAGGUAGGGAUACCCGCUGAACUUAAGCAUAUCAAUAAGCGGAGGA
rnacentral:misc_RNA from 1 species